GCCGCCUCCGUCGUCCACAUGCUCCUCCUCACGACCAUGAAAGUUGGCUGAGGUCUAGCCUCCCAUCCAUACGCAGUUUUUCAGAUUAUGCAAGUAUAUGCUUGGUCUGCAUAUUAGUACCGGCUAGCAAGCACAGGAACGACGACUUGGAUCUAAUGACUUGAUAUUCCAAUCCACCGAGAAAUCAGUUUUGACUCAAAAUGAUGCAUGCCUGAACCAUGAGCAUUAUUUGUUUGUCCGCUAAGCAAAUUGUGUCUGGAUGCAGAAAGUGAAAGCAUCAGAUUGAGUGAUUCAGAUCAAUUCUUGCGUUGUAUGCCUGUGAGAGAGCUGGCAGGACGAACAAGGAAUUUUACAAAACGUUAGCACAAAGAAGAUGCUUCUGGCCUACUACAUGAACUCGUUCUUGCCGACUUUAUCCUCUGUUUAUUUGCUCCGCGAGGUUGUUUGUUGGUUCGUGGGACGUCUGUGUCGUUAACCAACAAGGCGUUGUUAUCAUUACUUCCUCUCCCCUCGCUGGCUCGUCAUCUGCUUGCUAUCAAGCUUUGUGCUUCCUGUUUGACCUUUGUCUUCUCAUACUGCUGUAGUACUACCAAGGCACGGUUGAUCUUCUAUGGUCUUCGAAGCAUGACUUUAACUACUGAUACAUACACAACUAGAUGGAUUGGACAUUUAUGAAUGUCAUCAUUGUAUUUAUCUUACAAAAUGCGUGAAUCUAACUAAUUACAAGUGAAAACAUUUCUUGCCAUCGAAACGGAAUGGUAGUUUCCCCUGCAUUGUGAUAAUUAAUUUACAUCUGCAUUAUAGUAAGCUCGAAAUCCGAUAAAGUGUCAUCAGAAAUGAGCAU